rnacentral:rRNA from 1 species
UACGUAGGGUCCGAGCGUUGUCCGGAAUUAUUGGGCGUAAAGAGCUCGUAGGCGGCAUGUCGCGUCUGCUGUGAAAGACCGGGGCUUAACCCCGGUUUUGCAGUGGAUACGGGCAUGCUAGAGGUAGGUAGGGGAGACUGGAAUUCCUGGUGUAGCGGUGGAAUGCGCAGAUAUCAGGAGGAACACCGGUGGCGAAGGCGGGUCUCUGGGCCUUACCUGACGCUGAGGAGCGAAAGCAUGGUUAGCCAAC